rnacentral:lncRNA from 10 species
AGACCCGGGCUUGGGCCCCGCGGCGCUGCGCCUCCAACCCGGAAGAACAGCCCCAACUCCGCGGCGGCGGGCGGCCACGUGACUGCAGCUCCGCUCCCACCUCGGCCCGCGCCCCUUCCCCGCCCCAGCUUUCUUCCCGCCAGGCCCCCUCCACCCGAUCGCCGCGCGCUCUCCGAACCAAAAGGCGACCUCACGAAAUGCCCCUUUGAGCUCAAAGGCUAGUUACCCCCAGGGGCCCUUCCACUCUCGGGGACAGGCGAAACCUCUUUGUCUCUGCCUCGGCCUGCGGCCCCCAGCCCAGCCUCCGCGCUUUCCCUCCGCCAGUCCUUGUCAAUCAAACCUGGUGCCAAACGCGGCAGCUGAAGUUUUCAGGGACACAUUUGCUUCUCCCCUUGAAGAACCAGUUACAAAGCGUGAUGUCCUCUCUGGGGUCCCAUCAGAACAAAGAAACAGGUCUAAAGACCCUCAUUCCAGAGAGCAUCCUGCCCCAUAUCCAGAAUGAAAUCCAUGCUCAGAGAUGCCAAGAAGAAUCUAGACAGACAGGCCUUUCUAGGCUGUACAAGAAGCAUGAUGCCAGCAUCUGCUUCUGGUGACAACCUCAAGAAGUUUACAAUUGGCCGCGUGCGGUGGCUCAUGCCUGUAAUGCCAGCACUUCGGGAGGCGGAGACAGAUGGAUCAUUUGAGGUCAGGAGUUCGAGACCAGGCUGGCCAACAUGGUGAAACCCCAUCUCUACUAAAAAUACAAAAAUUAGCUGGGCAUGGUGGCAUGUGUCUGGAAUCCCUGCUACUCAGGAGGCUGAGGCAAGAGGAUCACUUGGAACUUGGGAGGCAGAGGUUGCUGUGAGCUGAGAUCACACCACUGUACUCCAGCCUGGGCAACAGAGUGAUACUCUAUCUCAAAAAAAAAAGAAAGAAAGAAAGAAAAGAAAAAGAAGCUUACAAUCAUGGUGGAAGGCGAAGAGGAGGAGCAGGCAUAUCACAUGGCCAAAAAGGGAGCAAGAGAAAGGUGAGAAAGACACUAGACUCUUUUUAAAACCAGCUCUCACAUGAGCUAAUGGAAUAAGAACUCACUCAUUACCACAAGGACAGAACCCAGCCAUUCAUGAGGGACCUGCCACCAUGACCCAAAAACCUCCUACUUGACCCAACCUCCAACACUGGGGAUAACAUUUCAACAUGAGAUUUGAAGAGGACAAAUACUCAAACUAUAUCACUUGUUGUCCAUUUUUAAUCUUUCUCUAACAUACCCUAACUUCUUCUUGAAAAUGCUUAAUUUUCUCUGUUUUGAGAUGUAAAUUUGCUAUCCUGUUUUUCUUAAAACUUGGUAAGAUCUUCAGCCAUGAAGGACAGACAAACUGUAACCUUUCCAUUUACAAAGCUGCAUUUGAAUUCAACUGUCCUUUUAAACUAAGGAGUUUUACUGGUCUCGUGGCUAAAAUUUUAAAGAUGUAGGCCAGGUGCAGUGGCUCAUGCCUGUAAUCCUAUCACUUUUGGAGACCAAGGCGGGGAUGGAUCACCUGAGGUCAGGAGUUCAAGACCAGCCUGGCCAACAUGAUGAAACUCCAUCUCUACUAAAAAUACAAAAAUUAGUCAGGCAUGGUGGCACACACCUGUAAUCCCAGCUACUCGGGAGGCUGAGGCAAGAGAAUGGCUUGAACCCGGGCGACGGAAGUUGCAGUGAGGCGAGAUUGCACCAUUGCACUCCAGCCUGGGCAAUAAGAGUGAAACUCUGUCUCAAAAAAAGAAAAAAUGAUAUAAAGUAUUUAUUUGUGUUUAUAUUUUAUGGAUACGUGUCUAUGUUUAUAGAUUGCCUGUAUGGUACCAACUUGACAUAAAUAAAUUAGUACUCAUAAAUUAAGUAAAUAAGCCCAAACGCUUUUCAAGUUCACAGGGCAUUAGUAAUCUGUGGUAAAUGAAGAUAGUUUAAAAUUUGGGGUAAAAUAAAAUAGAAACAUUUUCUGAAUUUAAUUUAGAUAUUUUUCUGGGUCUAUUUGUUAGACAGGUUUACACUAUCUCUGCUAUUUUUUUAAGGACCUAAAACUGAAUGGACAUAGAAAAUUGAGGAAAGAAAUAAAACCGUAACAAUUAUAAGAGGUUAUAAAAGGUUCAUGGAACCUUUUUAUGUUUUUUCUUGUGCAGUCAAAACCAAUUGCAGGCUGGAUGCAGUAGCUCACACUUGUAAUCCCAGCACUUUGGGAGGCUGAGAUGGGCAGAUCACUUGAGCUCAGGAGUUUGAGACCAUCCUGGGCAACAUAGUGAAACUCUCUCACUACCAAAGUACAAAAGGAAUUAGCUGGGCAUGAUGGUACACACUUGUAGUCCCAGCUACUUGGGGGACUGAGAUGGGAAAAUUGCUUGAGCCCGGGAGUCAAAGGUUGCAGUAAGCCAAGAUUGCACCACUACACUCCAGCCUGGGUGACAAAGUGAGACCCUGUCUCAAAAAAAAACAAAAAAAGGAAAAGAAAACAAUUGCAAUUGGAUUGAUCUGUUUAUAAGGCUUUAUUAAAAUUAGCUUUAGCAUUUAUAAUACACUGGCACAAAGUUAGAAUUUGGAUUUCUCUUUUGAACAAGAUUUUUGUAUACAUUAAUAAGAAAUAGUAAAAGAUUUUUGUUUACCUUUUGAGUAAACUGCAAAAAAUAUUAGUAAUAAGAGGAGAGAAUUUCCCUAAUGCUGUUUUUAUUAUGUCUUUUGAUUGUUUGGAAAACUGAAUCUCCCCUCUGUCAAAGAGUAAAAUUUUUGCUUUUUGAAAUUUUUGAAUUAUCAGUUUGGCUAAAUGAAUAACUAUUAUCUUACAGUGACCUGUAAUCUUAUUUUGAUCAAGUGUUUUAAACCUUUGAUAUUUGACAAACUUCCCAAAAUCAAAUGUAAAAUUCUAACUUAAAUGUUUUCGACCUCAAGCUAACUUUUGGGCAUUAAAGCCCUUGGAAGUCCAAAUAGGGCCCCUGGAAGUCCAAAAGAAACAUAUUAGGCUAAUUUGGUAUAUUAAAAUCAUACAGGAAGCUGAUCAAAUAAAAAAUGUUGUUUAAUUUUCUUUGAGUUGUAUUUGUAUAAAUCUGUUAUUAAUAUGCAUCCCAAAAUUGUAUCAUAUUGCUAAAAUGUUGAUAGAUCUUGUUAUAUGUUAUUGGUAAUAAUUGUUAUCCUGUUAAAUUAUUGUAUACCACAGAAAUAAUGAAAUUUCUUUGUCAAUUGCAUCAGUAAUCAUGGCUCUUCUAAGUCUUUUGUCAUUCACAGAUGAUUAUUGUUUUACUUGGAUUCUUUUCAAAAGUGGUUUGUAAUUGGCUACAGCCUAAAAUCUGCUUGUUC